rnacentral:lncRNA from 1 species
CUGCAUAGAGCGGCGCUGCACGCGGAGGCGAUGGGAGAGAAGAAGGAGGGCGGUGGCAGGGGUGAAGCGGAGGGUGGUGCAGGGGCUGCGGCCAGCCGGGCGCUGCAGCAGUGCGGGCAGCUCCAGAAGCUCAUCGUCAUCUUCAUUGGCAGCCUGUGGGGGCUGUGCAGCAAGUGCGCUGUGUCCAACGACCUCACCCAGCAGGAGAUAGGGACCCUGGAGGUAA